GACGAACCGUGCAAACGUUAUUCGGAAUCACUGGGCUUAAAGCGUGCGUAGGCGGCUCAGAAAGUUGGGUGUGAAAUCCCUCGGCUCAACCGAGGAAUUGCGCUCAAAACUACUGAGCUCGAGGGAGUUAGAGGUGAGCGGAACUAAUGGUGGAGCGGUGAAAUGUGUUGAUAUUGGAAGGAACACCGGAGGCGAAAGCGGUGUACUGGGGCUGGUCUGACGCUGAGGCACGAAAGCCAGGGGAGCGAACGGG
rnacentral:rRNA from 1 species